GGCAAUGCACCGCUGCGUUCAGAAAGCUUUAACAUGUUUUGAUGAAUACAAUGGUGCUAUAUUAAGUCUACAAUAACAUUCAAUAGGAAUGUUCUACGGUAACUUCCUUCUUGUCGGUCUUGAUGUAUACAAUGUACCAGCUGGACUUUUGAACACAGAAGUUGAAGCUUUGACCGAACGACAUGUCACAAUUCCCUGCCCUUUUUCAAACAGCGAGGGAAGCCAUGGACAGUAGACGAGAUGGACUCAAUGUACUGGGAUAUACGUACAUGGCGGUGCUUAUGUUCGCCUAUAUCACAGAUGCAGCUGGGACGGUAUGUUCUGACGCCGUUACAGAUGGAACUAUGGUACUGAACAUGUGUGAAGAUGGUAAUGCCGUCGGUAAACGCGUGGUUAUAGACACGUACGGAUCGUCUGCGUACAGAACAGAUGGCGGUAGUAUCAACUGUUCCUGUACGGCGACAAUGACGGGACGCUCCGACGGAAUCAGUUCAAAUGUUCUAUUUGACGAUGUCCAGUCGUUAUAUCCUCCGUCUGGAUGUGGAAGCAGCGUUAUUUUAUCAGCGCACGUAGCAGCUGUCUCGUCUGUUCAAUCAACAACUUUCGUUUGUACUGUUGGAUUUACUAAAUUUUACCUUGGCCAGACAAAUGAUACAUUCAUUGUUGUGUGGCAGUCUGGACCCAGUGGAAGUACGUCAGAAUACUGUCUUUCAUCUACGGCAAGUACGGGGGCAUACUUGUCUGUGAAAUGCUUCGAAGUGAAUGAUAAAAGUGAAGAGAACACCACACCACCACCGACAUCCCCUGCUACAGUGAUGCUAACGUCAGAUCAAAAACCUUCUCCCAUCUCUGUGACCAGCCCUUCCACUUCGUCCCUGGCAUCGUAUUUCAAUGGUAAAAUAUUUAAUAUGAUAAGUCUAACCGCUUGUAUGAUUGCAAGCAGAUUAAUUUAUUUUCGAACUCAUCUAUAAAUUAAAGUUUACAUCCAUUUUAGCUGACAUGUUUUUUCUACAUGCGUUACUUUUUAUUUUUCUAAAUACUGCACAUUUGUUUUAUUUUUUCAGGAACAAAUGCCAUGUGUGCUUGAUAAUGAUAAGUUUAUGCAAGUAGAUGUAAUGAGAAACAUUUUUGUCAUUGUAAUUUGUUUCAGAGAAAAAAAUUGAACUCGUCAUGCAAUUUCAUUCAAUUGCAGGGUACGAUAACAAUCUGAUAAUGUUUAAAUGUAUUUCAUUUGUUUACAGAUAUAGCUUUGCAAAAAUGGACAACAGUUUUGUUAAAGUUUAAAAGGACAGGUUAAAUGAUUAAAUACCAUGAUUAUUUUGCUUCAUUAUAGGAUAUUUUUAAAUUAUGUACUUGAUAUUAUGUUUUUUGUCUGUCUAUAUCUGUCCACGUUUAUUUUGUCAAUUCUGUCUUUGUCUAUCAACGUUUUGUUUGUCCAUGAUCGUCUAUUUCCGUCCGUAUGUCCAUGUUUUAAAGUAAAAUUGUUCAUGACUGUAUUGUCACGUGACGUAUGUCUAAUUGAGUAAGACGAUUGGAUGUAUGAAAGAAGUAUGUAUGCUUGGCAUUUUAUUUAUCCGUUUCCGCGAUAAACCCACCCAAAAAACACUACUUGAUGAUUGAAGACAACACCGUGUUGAUGACGUCAUGAUGAGAAGAUCAAUCUGAGGAUAAUAUACCUGACCAGGAAAUGCAAACUUCUACAAUAUUCUGACUGUCAUCACCGUCACGUCAUCAACAACAUCUUCCAGUGCCAUUAUGACGUCAGAGGUAGCAGCUACUUAUGGACUUAGAUAACAACAAGUAUCUCCAAAUUGACAUACAUCUCUCUCCCCUACGACAGUGUAUCCUACGUGAACCCGAAGGUACGUAGUACUGUAAACUAGAGAUGUGUUUACGCUUUUAACGAUUCGGUGAAUCGGCUGAUAAACCAGGACAUGAACCAUUUAUAUCCAGGUCUUACUAUACAACAAGUUCGAAACCGAAAAAUACUUGAUGCAAACUUGUAUUUGUUCAUGAUGUAAAAAACAAGAUAAUGA
rnacentral:misc_RNA from 1 species